AGAGUUUGAUCCUGGCUCAGGACGAACGCUGGCGGCGCGCCUAACACAUGCAAGUCGAACGAGCGAGAGAGAGCUUGCUUUCUCGAGCGAGUGGCGAACGGGUGAGUAACGCGUGAGGAACCUGCCUCAAAGAGGGGGACAACAGUUGGAAACGACUGCUAAUACCGCAUAAGCCCACGGCUCGGCAUCGAGCAGAGGGAAAAGGAGCAAUCCGCUUUGAGAUGGCCUCGCGUCCGAUUAGCUAGUUGGUGAGGUAACGGCCCACCAAGGCGACGAUCGGUAGCCGGACUGAGAGGUUGAACGGCCACAUUGGGACUGAGACACGGCCCAGACUCCUACGGGAGGCAGCAGUGGGGAAUAUUGCACAAUGGGGGAAACCCUGAUGCAGCGACGCCGCGUGGAGGAAGAAGGUCUUCGGAUUGUAAACUCCUGUUGUUGAGGAAGAUAAUGACGGUACUCAACAAGGAAGUGACGGCUAACUACGUGCCAGCAGCCGCGGUAAAACGUAGGUCACAAGCGUUGUCCGGAAUUACUGGGUGUAAAGGGAGCGCAGGCGAGAAGACAAGUUGGAAGUGAAAUCUAUGGGCUCAACCCAUAAACUGCUUUCAAAACUGUUUUUCUUGAGUAGUGCAGAGGUAGGCGGAAUUCCCGGUGUAGCGGUGGAAUGCGUAGAUAUCGGGAGGAACACCAGUGGCGAAGGCGGCCUACUGGGCACCAACUGACGCUGAGGCUCGAAAGUGUGGGUAGCAAACAGGAUUAGAUACCCUGGUAGUCCACACUGUAAACGAUGAUUACUAGGUGUUGGAGGAUUGACCCCUUCAGUGCCGCAGUUAACACAAUAAGUAAUCCACCUGGGGAGUACGACCGCAAGGUUGAAACUCAAAGGAAUUGACGGGGGCCCGCACAAGCAGUGGAGUAUGUGGUUUAAUUCGACGCAACGCGAAGAACCUUACCAAGUCUUGACAUCCUGCGACGCACAUAGAAAUAUGUGUUUCCUUCGGGACGCAGAGACAGGUGGUGCAUGGUUGUCGUCAGCUCGUGUCGUGAGAUGUUGGGUUAAGUCCCGCAACGAGCGCAACCCUUACUGUCAGUUACUACGCAAGAGGACUCUGGCAGGACUGCCGUUGACAAAACGGAGGAAGGUGGGGAUGACGUCAAAUCAUCAUGCCCUUUAUGACUUGGGCUACACACGUACUACAAUGGCGUUAAACAAAGAGAAGCAAGACCGCGAGGUGGAGCAAAACUCAGAAACAACGUCCCAGUUCGGACUGCAGGCUGCAACUCGCCUGCACGAAGUCGGAAUUGCUAGUAAUCGUGGAUCAGCAUGCCACGGUGAAUACGUUCCCGGGCCUUGCACUCACCGCCCGUCA
rnacentral:rRNA from 1 species